rnacentral:rRNA from 1 species
GACGAACGCUGGCGGCGUGCCUAAUACAUGCAAGUAGGACGCUGAAGGAGGAGCUUGCUUCUCUGGAUGAGUUGCGAACGGGUGAGUAACGCGUAGGUAACCUGCCUGGUAGCGGGGGAUAACUAUUGGAAACGAUAGCUAAUACCGCAUAAUAGUAGAUGUUGCAUGACAUUUGCUUAAAAGGUGCAAUUGCAUCACUACCAGAUGGACCUGCGUUGUAUUAGCUAGUUGGUGGGGUAACGGCUCACCAAGGCGACGAUACAUAGCCGACCUGAGAGGGUGAUCGGCCACACUGGGACUGAGACACGGCCCAGACUCCUACGGGAGGCAGCAGUAGGGAAUCUUCGGCAAUGGACGGAAGUCUGACCGAGCAACGCCGCGUGAGUGAAGAAGGUUUUCGGAUCGUAAAGCUCUGUUGUAAGAGAAGAAAGAGUGUGAGAGUGGAAAGUUCACACUGUGACGGUAUCUUACCAGAAAGGGACGGCUAACUACGUG